AAAAAGGAAGGGCCAUGGAGUUUGGGCACCUAGGCUGGAGAACAUCAGGGACAGCGGAGGCCUCCCCAGCCCGCAAGUCACGGUAGCAGAAAUGCUGAGCUGGACUGAAACUGUAAGGAAAGCCCUAUGCGGGUACAGAACUGUACAGUUUGCAAAGAAAUAUACUGGCUCCGAAGUAUUUAUAAAGCCCUUUCCAUUCACAAACUCCCACUGCCCCUUGCAGCUGCAGUCAGAUGCAUCUAUAACGGUGAGAAGCAGAGAAGAAAGGAAGGCAAGAGCACAGGAAAGAAGGGAAGAAGAGAGGAAGA